ACGCUCGACACCUACGGGGGGCAGCAGUGGGGAAUAUUGCACAAUGGGGGAAACCCUGAUGCAGCGACGCCGCGUGAGCGAAGAAGUAUUUCGGUAUGUAAAGCUCUAUCAGCAGGGAAGAAAGUGACGGUACCUGACUAAGAAGCACCGGCUAAAUACGUGCCACAGCCGCGGUAAUCUGAGCGGGCUGGCAAGGC
rnacentral:rRNA from 1 species